GGGGAACUGAAACAUCUAAGUACCCCGAGGAAAAGAAAUCAACCGAGAUUCCCCCAGUAGCGGCGAGCGAACGGGGAGCAGCCCAGAGCCUGAAUCAGUAUGUGUGUUAGUGGAAGCGUCUGGAAAGGCGCGCGAUACAGGGUGACAGCCCCGUACACAAAAAUGCACAUGCUGUGAGCUCGAUGAGUAGGGCGGGACACGUGGUAUCCUGUCUGAAUAUGGGGGGACCAUCCUCCAAGGCUAAAUACUCCUGACUGACCGAUAGUGAACCAGUACCGUGAGGGAAAGGCGAAAAGAACCCCGGCGAGGGGAGUGAAAAAGAACCUGAAACCGUGUACGUACAAGCAGUGGGAGCACGCUUAGGCGUGUGACUGCGUACCUUUUGUAUAAUGGGUCAGCGACUUAUAUUCUGUAGCAAGGUUAACCGAAUAGGGGAGCCGAAGGGAAACCGAGUCUUAACUGGGCGUUAAGUUGCAGGGUAUAGACCCGAAACCCGGUGAUCUAGCCAUGGGCAGGUUGAAGGUUGGGUAACACUAACUGGAGGACCGAACCGACUAAUGUUGAAAAAUUAGCGGAUGACUUGUGGCUGGGGGUGAAAGGCCAAUCAAACCGGGAGAUAGCUGGUUCUCCCCGAAAGCUAUUUAGGUAGCGCCUCGUGAAUUCAUCUCCGGGGGUAG
rnacentral:rRNA from 1 species